rnacentral:rRNA from 1 species
CGGCGUGGAUUAGGCAUGCAAGCCGAACGGGAUCUCUUGGAUGGACUCUUCGGAUGAAGUCCUUGAGUGAGAGUGGCGAACUGGUGAGGAACACGUGGGUAAUUUGCCCUUAAGUUCGGAAUAGCCCUUCGAAAGAAGGAGUAAUACCGAAUGUGGUCGUCCCGCUCCUGCGGGAUUGUCUAAAGGUGGGGAUCUUUGGACCUGCCGCUUAGGGAUAAGCCCGCGCCCUAUCAGCUUGUUGGUGAGGUAACGGCUCCCCAAGGCUAAGACGGGUAGCUGGUCUGAGAGGAUGGUCAGCCACACUGGGACUGAGACACUGCCCAGACUCCUACGGGAGGCUGCAGUCGAGAAUCAUUCGCAAUGCCCGAAAGGA